ACGGCCACAUAACGGCAAAAUACCGGUUCCCGUACGAUCACCGAAGUUAAGAAAAGUCGAGCCUGCUCACUACCUAGAAGGGUGAACGUUUGGGAAUACCAGGCGCUGUAA